CCAGGCCAGAGGCAGGACGUGGGCGAGAGGUCGGCGGUCAGAUGGAUGAGAUCGUGGAAGGAAAGGACCGCAUUACAUUUGUGACCAAAGAAGACCGUGAGACUUCAAGCAAUGCCAAGUUGGGAACAGAUGAUCCCAACCACCCUUAUGAAGACCACGGUCAAUAAACUGUAUCAGCAACAUGAAAAGGCAAAGGAAUCACAUCCAUAGGCUCUAUCUGCACAGGAACCUCGAUGGCAUCAUUACGAAUGAGGUCCACAGACGUCUUAGGAAGAGGAGGAGGGAGGAAGCACGAGGAAAGACAAUGACAGCUGGAAGCCCCCCAACUCUGAGGCCUAGCUCUGUAAGAAGUGGCUGUGGAAAUCUGAGGAAGGCAGCUAUGUCGUGAAACCCAGACACCAAGUCCAUCGCUAAGGUCAAGGCUCUGGUCUUUGACUUAAGGAUUCCAGAACCUGAAGUGUGUAUAUGUGUGUCAUCCUAGACUCAUCUAUGUCAUCUACCGUGGGUCAGUCUUCAGAGGAGAGUGACAAUCCAGGGGUCACUCAGAAAGACAUCUACAUAGGACAAGAACAUCUGAAUUGUAAAAUACCACUCAAGUUGGUGGACCCACUCCAAUUCGGUACAGCGGUAGAGUCAUGCAUUCCGUCAUAUUUACCGAGUGCUUACUGUGUGCAGGGUACUGUGGUAAGCACUUGUGAAAGUACAGUACAACA